rnacentral:lncRNA from 1 species
UCGAGAUACGUUAAAAUUACUGAAUUAAACUCGUUGUAUAUACCCAUGAAACAUAAAAGCCUUGUCAUUAUACAAGUAUUGACUAAACUGAAUGAUAACAUUCCUGUCAUAAUGUAACUUAAAACUUACAUCAGAGCCAUAAAUAAUCAAUCAAUACAAAUAUACUAUGACGUUAACUUAUACAACAGCUUAAUAGAAUAUCCAGAUAAACAAUGACAAUAACAUCCAAUGCCACUUCACUUCGGCCGGUCCAUAGCUCUCUGCUCAGCAACCUGUUUAUCUGUAUCAAAAGGGAGUGGGUGAGACAGUCACUUCGUCUCAAUGGGUUUCUCGCUACCCAUCUAGGUGCAACCAUCCCUUACGAACCAUUUUUGGAAUCGAUCGUUAGUUCAUUACAUUCAUAAGAAUGGCUUAAACAUAAUAAUAAUUUUCUUAAUAGAAACUAAAGAUGUAACACACGAUAGUUAUCUUGAUUC